UCGGGAAUUUUGGGCAAUGGGCGCAAGCCUGACCCAGCUACGCCGCGUGAGGGAUGAAGGCCUUCGGGUCGUAAACCUCUGUCGGGAGGGAAGAACGGACUGCGGGUGAACAAUCCGCGGUAUUGACGGUACCUCCAAAGGAAGCGCCGGCUAACUCCGUGCCAGCAGCCGCGGUAAUACGGAGGGCGCAAGCGUUGUUCGGAAUCACUGGGCGUAAAGCGCGUGUAGGCGGCCAGGUAAGUCGGGUGUGAAAUCCCGGGGCCCAACCCCGGAACUGCAUUCGAAACUGCCCGGCUGGAGUCCCGGAGAGGAAGGCGGAAUUCCCGGUGUAGAGGUGAAAUUCGUAGAUAUCGGGAGGAACACCAGCGGCGAAGGCGGCCUUCUGGACGGUGACUGACACUGAGACGCGAAAACGUGGGGAGCAAACAGGAUUAGAUACCCUGGUAGUCCACGCCGUAAACGUUGGGUGCUAGGUGUCGCGGGUAUUGACCCUGCGGUGCCGCCGCUAACGCA
rnacentral:rRNA from 1 species